rnacentral:rRNA from 1 species
AGUGCGUAAUAGCUCACUGGUCGAGUGACUCUGCGCCGAAAAUUUAACGGGGCUAAACUAUACACCGAAGCUUGGGAUACAUCUAAUGUAUGGUAGGAGAGCGUUCUGUAUGGGGAGAAGUCGUAGCGAAAGCGGCGGUGGACUAUACAGAAGUGAGAAUGCCGGAAUAAGUAGCGAGAAUUAAGUGAGAAUCUUAAUGGCCGAAAGUCUAAGGUUUUUGGAGGAAGGUUCGUCCGCUCCAAGUAAGUCGGGAGCUAAGGUCAGGCCGAAAGGCGUAGCCGAUGCACAUACGGUUGAUAUUCCGUAACCAUCUGUAAUUUAAGCAAAGGGACACUUCAAAAGGGUGUGACCCGGGCGUUGGUUGACCCGGGCGUAAGGGACCGAAAUUAGAGUAGGGAAGCACACUUAGCUGAAGGCGAGAAAAGCUUUGCGUAUAGAAGCAGAUGCCCGUACCGCAAACCGACACAGGUGGACAGGAAGAGAAUUCUAAGGCCAGCGGGAGAAGGGUAGUUAAGGAACUCGGCAAAUUGACUCCGUAACUUCGGAAUAAGGAGUGCUCGAAAGAGCCGCAGAGAAUAGGCCCAGGCGACUGUUUAGCAAAAACACAGGUCUCUGCCAAAUCGAAAGAUGAAGUAUAGGGGCUGACACCUGCCCGGUGCCGGAAGGUUAAGAGGAGGAGUGAGAGCUCCUAAUUGAAGCCCCGGUAAACGGCGGCCGUAACUAUAACGGUCCUAAGGUAGCGAAAUUCCUUGUCGGGUAAGUUCCGACCCGCACGAAUGGUGUAACGAUCUGGGCACUGUCUCAACUACCCACCCGGCGAAAUUGUAGUACCGGUGAAGAUGCCGGUUACCUGCGGCAAGACGGAAAGACCCCAUGGAGCUUUACUGUAGCCUGAUAUUGGGUUUCGGAAAUCUAUGUACAGGAUAGGCGGGAGACUGGGAAACAUGAGCGUCAGCUUGUGUGGAGUCGAUGUUGGGAUACCGCCCUUAGGUUUCUGGAAUUCUAACCUGCGGCCGUGAAUCCGGUCGGGGGACAUUGUCAGGUGGGCAGUUUGACUGGGGCGGUCGCCUCCGAAAAGGUAACGGAGGCGCUCAAAGGUUAGCUCAGCACGGACGGAAACCGUGCCUCUGAGUGUAAACGCAAAAGCUAGCCUAACUGCGAGGGUGACGGCCCGAGCAGUAACGAAAGUUGGAGUUAGUGAUCCGGCGGUAU